rnacentral:tmRNA from 1 species
GGGGAUGCACUGGCUUCGACGGAAGAAGCAUGGUGCGGCUGGCGAGUCGAGAGGUGUCCCUCGUCAAAGGCACAACAGCACUUACGUGCCAAGGUUAACUGGAACGCCGUUCCUGUCGCCGCUUAAGCGGUAAGGGUUCGUCGUCCGAUCUUUUAUAGGUCGGCGUCGCCCGUGUCCUCGUAUUGGUAGGAUACGGUUGCGAUGUAAUAAUGCCAAUAAGCGCUUCGUCGAGGUUCGUAGAUGAAUUGGCGCUGCCUGACAGGCGAUAAUACGAGCUAGUGUGAGGUCAACUUUGCCGUUGGAGGUUAAUCACACGAAAUUCAAACAGCGGCUACACUCGUAGGCAGGCGUAACAGCUUUGUUUCGGACCCGGGUUCGAUUCCCGGCAUCUCCACUU